rnacentral:rRNA from 1 species
UAGGGAAUAUUGGACAAUGGGUGAGAGCCUGAUCCAGCCAUGCCGCGUGCAGGAAGAAGGCGUUAUGCGUUGUAAACUGCUUUUGCCAGGGGAUAAAAAGACCGUGCGCGGUUAAUUGAAGGUACCUGGUGAAUAAGCCACGGCUAACUACGUGCCAGCAGCCGCGGUAAUACGUAGGUGGCAAGCGUUGUCCGGAUUUAUUGGGUUUAAAGGGUGCGUAGGUGGCCCUGUAAGUCAGUGGUGAAAUAUCUCAGCUUAACUGAGAGGGUGCCAUUGAUACUGCAGGGCUUGAGUACAGAUGAGGUAGGCGGAAUUGACGGUGUAGCGGUGAAAUGCAUAGAGAUUACAUGGAAUACCAAUUGCGAAGGCAGGUUACUACUAAUGGAUUGACGCUGAUGGACGAAAGCGUGGGUAGCGAACAGGAUUAGAUACCCAAGUAGUCCCUGAGCGGGCUGGCAAGGCGCAU